GACGAACGCUGGCGGCGUGCUUAACACAUGCAAGUCGAACGGAAAGGCCCUGCUUUUGUGGGGUGCUCGAGUGGCGAACGGGUGAGUAACACGUGAGUAACCUGCCCUUGACUUUGGGAUAACUUCAGGAAACUGGGGCUAAUACCGGAUAGGAGCUCCUGCUGCAUGGUGGGGGUUGGAAAGUUUCGGCGGUUGGGGAUGGACUCGCGGCUUAUCAGCUUGUUGGUGGGGUAGUGGCUUACCAAGGCUUUGACGGGUAGCCGGCCUGAGAGGGUGACCGGCCACAUUGGGACUGAGUUACGGCCCAGACUCCUACGGGAGGCAGCAGUGGGGAAUAUUGCACAAUGGGCGGAAGCCUGAUGCAGCAACGCCGCGUGCGGGAUGACGGCCUUCUGGUUGUAAACCGCUUUCGCCUGUGACGAAGCGUGAGUGACGGUAAUGGGUAAAGAAGCACCGGCUAACUACGUG
rnacentral:rRNA from 1 species